CUUGUUACUCCGCCUGCGCAUGCGCAGUGCGGAGUCUAAAAAUGCCUGAGUCUGUUGUCGGUUGUCGACUGUCGUCAGUGUCACAAACAAGCUCCUUGAUAAAUGUGUACAUUCCAUGAUAUUUAUAUACUUUCUAUUGACAUUUGUGGAUAAUGUUAUACGAUUUGGCAGCGCAAUGCGCAUGCUUACAGCUCUGCUUACAGUAUUUUUCUAAACUGCGAACUGCGAAACGGUCUUGUGCGAUGACAAAUACUAAACGAUGAAAAAUACUAAAAAGAUG